rnacentral:tRNA from 1 species
GGGCGCGUAGCUCAAUGGCAGAGCAGUGGCCUUUUAAGCCAACGGUUGAAGGUUCGAGUCCUUCCGCGCUCA